CGGCGGCGGCGGACGGGGCUGGGCAGAGGCUGCCCUCUCGGCUGGGGAAAUCCUUUCCGGAUCCUAAUAGAGUGAAGACUAGUACAAAGAAAAUUCGUUGUAUAAACAUCCUGCCCAAAAAAGGAAGGUUCGCCCAUACUCCAUCUACAGGAUUCAGUCCUUUGUAGCCAUAUAGAGUAUGCGACAGAACAAUUUGGAAAAUAUUCAUCUAUCAAGUUUAACAACUUUCUGGUGUAACUUCAGAGAGGUUGAUUGCUUAUUCAUGUGGAAGAGCUUUCUGAAACUAAAAUUUCUCUCUGAGGACAGCUGGUCCAUGCCCCUGAGGAAAAAGAUGCUUAUUUCAAGGCUGAGGUGAAAGUGGCAGCUGAACAAAACCUGCUCUUUCAAGGAAGCAGCAAAGCAGCAGUAUAGGACCAGAGCUGGAAGUCCUUCUGCUGUAAAUCCACACCAAUUCAACUAAGACCAAGCACUUGUGAAUAUUAAAUUCACACUAGUGUAGCUGAGAAUAGAAAUGGCCUUUGUUUUUGAAACCCUUGGAGCCUGAAGUGAAAAAAAAAAAUAGGAGCAGGGUUUAACCUUUAAACCUUUCACUGACCUUUAAGCAGUACUUUGGAUUAUAUCUGCCCUUGUUAAUCUGAAGCCACUUGCAAACAUUACUGGCAUUCCUGUUUUUUAAGUAUACUUUACGUACAUUAUAGGAUGGGUUAGCAGUUGAAAAGUUUGGCUCCUGAUCAUUGUGUCUUUAUCACCUUUUAAAGUGAUGCUUAUCUUUGUAAACAAAAUUUUAUAGUUAGCAGCAACACAAGAAAUGCUUUGCGUCAAAGACUAUCAUUUAAGUGAUGGCCAGGCGUAGAUCUAUACUCUUGGAGGUGCAAACCCAUGUGUUGAUCAAGACAUUAAAUUUUGUAGAAUUCCUGUAUUAAUGUAGAGCUCUACGAGGACCAGUUUUGUUAGCACAUCCUUCUAUCACAGAUGAGUAGAAAAUUCUUCAGCAUUUGGUCAGACCAUUAUUUCUUCUUCUUUGCCUUUUCUUUCUUUCACAUUAUUCGCAUCACUUCAUGCACUUUUUUUCUCACAUACAUUCCCCAUACAUAUCUUCAUUUUGCUCUAUUAAAUCCAAACUACAGGUACAAAUAACAUAAAAUGAAACAUGGAUUUAUCUUGGACAAGAUCUCACUAUUCUCAUAAUCUAAACAGAAUUUAAUUAACACUAGAAACAUCUACUUCUUGAUAUAAAUAAAACAGUCUAAAAUUGGUGAUUGUCAUUUCCCCUUUUCAUUCACACAAUGAUUGCAAAAUGUCUUGCCAUUCACAUGGAAAUUUGUCUUCUAAGUACGUCUGUCUUUAGUAGAAAAAUGUCGUGGGCAGAGCACAAAUUUAUGAGAGGAUGUAUAUGUUCAAGAAAUAACUGCUAUUUCAUAUUCUGUGUCCAUCAUUUGGAUCAAGACUUUUCCUGCUGGAUUGUUACAGUAACACAGAGGAACUGAUGCACUGCCCCUCACAUUCAAGCUACUCUUCAAGUGCAGAAAUACUGGCCUUAGAAAUUGACAAAAUUACAGACAAGUUAUUUUGCAUUGAAAUAUGAAAUGCUGAAAAUUGCUGAGACAACCUAGCACAACAGAGGCAUUCAGGCUGAGUCAGUGGGAGAAACACCAUUUAGGUGUUUAGAAAGCUAAAAGUAUGGGAUUUGUUUCCCUGUAAAGUUUUACCAGGACUUGACAUUGUAAAGACAUUGAGUGUCAUAGGCUUUUAAAGAAAUAAAGAGUUGAUAAACAGAGAGCAAAUACUGAAAGGUCUUGUGAUGUAGCUGGUGAAAAGCACCUGUAUUUUAUGUUGGAUAUUUAUUUGAAUAUGAAAAGUGCUAUAAAUUUUUUAUCAUCUCCUCAUCUCUUGCUGUUGCGUGUUGGAGAAUGACUAAAUCUCUGGAGAGGGAUCAGAUCUGUAAAAGUUGUCAGUUAUUAAGACAAGGUAUUCAGUGAAUAAAUGAAUUAUUGUACUGAAGUCCUUUAUUGAAUAUUCCUGUGUCACUGCUUCAGUUAAGUAUCAAGAACACAAGCAUUUAACAAUGUUACUUUAAAUUCAAAAUGCCUUGAAAGUACGGAGAUUCAAUUUGCAAAUGUAACCAAGAAUAAAACAUGUGCCUGGGAUUACAUGUCACUUCUUGGGAUGUUUUGACAUAACACAUUUUAGAAAAUACUUUCCUGUGACAGAAAUGAUUAAAAUAAAUUUCAGUUUUCUAGGACUUCUAACAGAGCCAGUCCAGUUCGUGGUUAGUUUGUUCUCUGCAUCACAGCAAGCACUAGCUGACAUGCUCACUUGUGUUUCAGUGUGGAGGCCAACUGCUUAAGGCUAAAGUGUUAUUGUGUUCCUUGUGUGAAUAAUCCUAUUAGCAGCAAGGGAAUAUAGGCAUGGAAAAAUUGUAAAAUGGUCAGAAGUGAGAAAAUAACCCGACUUCCUUCUCUUUUCUAAAGAUGAUCUGUGUAGUUAUUUUAGACAGACCUCUUGUGUGAUGGUGCCAACAUCUUCAAAGCCUCCAUCUUUUUAUCUCCUCUAAGGGCUACCAGAAUCACACCAGCUCUUCAAUAUUUGUUCAGAUGGGUACACUUAGAAAAGUACAAAAGCAAAUCCAUUCAAUAAUCUGUCUUCUUAAUUUCCAAAAUACUGGCACCAAGAUAGAAAAUGUAAGGAGACACAGGGAGGUACUUUUCUCAGUGUCUUUCAUGGAAAUACACUUCUUCAAGAAAUUCAGUGUAUAAGGACCACAGAGAAUUGUUCCCGAAGAACAACUACAUCCAUAAUGGAAAAUAUACACCAGAAAUUUAGUAUGAAACCUACUUUUAUUAAAUAUAGUUAAAUUAAUUACAGCUUCAGUAUAGAAUUUUAGUAUUACAUGUAGUAUUACAUUAAAAAAAAAUAAUCCAAAUAGGUAAUUCCUACUACAGAGUUAUGCUCAAUUUUGCCACUCAUCUUUGUGGUACUUGCAGAAAUCCAAGAGUGGCAGCUUUGGGUUUAUUAACAAAAUGUCACAAUUAAACUUAUCCAGGAGGACAGGUAAGACUGCCUGUUAAUAGCAACAUUCUCAGAACAGCGUGAUAUGUUCACUGAUCAAAUCACCUGCCUGUCCAUCUAAGCCAGCCAAAUACCAAAACCAAAAAAAGAUUAUUACUUUUUUGCAGUGCACCUGUUCUUAGCACAUGAUGAGAGGAUUGUGAAGACAGUGAUGGAGCAUACAUCAAAAAGCUGUUGCUUCAUGCUCUGUGACUCAUUUGCUGUACCAGGAAUGAAACAGAGAGAAGGAAUUUGGUUGUUGGGAUUAUGAAAUCCAGAACCUGGUUCUGUAACCUGCUGAUGAUAUGGACCUCUGUUGUCAUUUAAACAUGAUUAUAUAUUCACUGUCUUAAUUAAUAAUUACGGAUGUUGCAUGACAUUAUGCUAACACCCUAUCUGAAAAUAAAAUGAGUACUGACAUGUCAAGGACUUGGCUAAAAUGUGUGUUGAUUUCUCUCUGAUUGCUGCUGGAUCUCACUGUUGAUCUGUUAAUCAUUUUAGCUUCACCAGAUGAAACAGAAAGAUGGGGAAAGGCAGGUUCUGCUUCCCACAACAUCCUGGGACUGUUACCAGCUGCACAAGAGAUGGCAGAGGAUGGGCGGCUUUGGCAAAGCAUUGAAGAAACAGUAACCAUGAGCCUCCAACAAAAGAACCUGUGAGCUAAAGCAGUGCAACAGCAGAAGUUUUCUGCCCGCCCUGAUGGGGAGGUCACCCAAUAGAAAACAACCCCUGGCAAAAGCAGCGCAGUGGCCACAAGGUGUGGUCAUUACAGCCAUUAGCACUUCUAGCACGUAAGAGCUGACUCAGUUAUUUCACUGAAAUGGUUGAUUGUGGCACAUUCACUCCCCCAUGCUCUCCUCAGAUUGCCUCUCUGUGCCAAAGAGGUUCAGACCAUCACUCUUUGUCACAAAGGUAUUUAUUUGGUGGGAAGGAUAUCUCAAUCUACAAGAUGUCUCUGCUAGUUUCAGUGCCACUGGAGGAGUAAGGUAUUUAUAAGAGCAGAGUCCAGUAGAGAUGGACUGUUAUUUGACUUAGUGCUUGACAAGUGGCUUUGAGAACGGUAAAGGUAACAAGCUACAUCACAGAAAUGGUCUUUUCCACUUUUUUACCCAUCUCACAGGUAUUUCUAUAUGCUCAGAAUCUUGAAUCCUGCAGAGCUCCCUGGUGAUGACUGGAUAAAAAGAGGAUGUUGGAUAUAUGAGGAAGAAAAGGAAGUACUGGCAUUAAAAAGGGCAGUUAAGAGGAUCAAAGCCUGAGGUAUGAGGAAAGAAGUCCCAUCAUGUGGGAAGGCUCCAUUCUGUUGUAAAGAAAUUUCACUAUGACUUCCUGGUUCUGUUGCUCCACAUUGGGUGACAGACAUGUGACAGGAUGGCUGCUCUGUCCCUGCCAUGCUCAUGCUGAGAUACCUAAGUACUGUGGUUGCUACCUUUUUGAAGGAGCCACGGGACCAAAGAGCAAAAUUCAGCACAGUUCUCCAGCCUGGUGGCUGCAAUGCUUGAGUCCUGUGUUUUGUUGCUGCCUCUACAGUCAACUGCAGCAAGCCCAGGUGAGUUAAUCAACUUUCUGCCUGGUGCACAGCUCUGUUCAUUCUUCUCUGUAUCUGCUGGCAACUCCAUUAUCCCUUAGUUGCCAAAUACUAGGAAAGGCAUGGAUUCCUGAGGUUUUGCAAUGUCCCUCCUAGAGCUACUCACCCCGUGCAUGUAAUUCACUGGAGAGGCAGAUGAAUCAGAGGAGUGUGCACCUCAACCCAUUGGGGCAGGUCUCCCCUCUUAUCAUAGUGUCCAAGCCACCUGGUCAAACAGCCCAAAAGGGGAAGUGGCAUUUCCUAUUCCCAAAAUCUGCUGGGAAUAGCAGUGAGUGUCUGUAAACCAGCCUCAUACAAAAGUCAACCUGAUUUCACAGAAAAACUUGAGUCCAAACUUACUCGAGUGAAGAGUCUUCUCCGGACUCAGUGACUUUGGCUCAUGCACAGGUUACAUCUGGUUCCUAUUUUUAGUGAGAGAUGGACAGUGGAAUGGGAGAAAUGAUGCAGAUACUGUAUCGCUAGUAAGCCUGCAAGAAGAGAUGUGAGUUGUGAGGAAAGGGUUCAGGUCAUCCAGGAAAGGGUAACAGGAAAAGAUGUUGGAUGGGAACUUGGAUGGAUGGGAAAAUGAACACAAAGACACAGGAGGGAAAGUGAUAGAGAUGAAAACUGAAGCAGAAAGAAUGGAAGAACUAUAUCAAUAAAUAACGUGUGAAGAAACUAAAAAGGCAAAUGACAAGGAAGAUUAAUUUUCUAUUUCACUGCCUGAAAGUGUUUGUAGCUACAAGUACAAAUCGACUUGUUUCAUAGGUAAACACAGCAUGUUCACCAUGGGGAAAAAAUGUGAAGAAAUAAGGAAGAAAGAAUAAAUGACCAGUUUUCUUAGUGAAAGUUCUUCGUUCUCUGCUGGAGACCCACAGGAACCUGGGGUGAGAUCUGUAUUAACACAGAAUUACUCAAGAUAGAAAAACUAAAACUUACAUGAAGAAUUAAAGGAAAAAACCCAUCUUGAUAAAUGCCUUUUGAUAGACAUUGAGGUGUUGAAACAUGUCCAGACAAGGGCAAGGGAGCUGAGGAAGGGUCUGGAGCACAAGUCUCAUGAAAAGUGACUGAGGGAACUGGGGGAGUUUAGCCUGGAGAAGAGGAGGAACAGAGGGGGAUUUUAUCACUCUCUACAACUGCCUGAAAGGAGGGUAUGGCCGUGUGGGAAUCAGCCCCUUUUCCCAAGUAAUAAGUGAUGGGUCAAGAGGAAAUGUUGUACCAGGGGAGGUUUAGACUGGAUAUUAGGAAAAAUUUCCUCAUGGAAAGGGUUGUCAAGAAAUGGAACAGGCUGUCUCAAGGAAGUGGUUUAAUCUCCAUUCCUGGAGGUAUUUAGUCGACUUUAGAUGUGACACUUGGUUACAUGGUUUAAUGGUGGACUUGGCAGUGCUGGGUCAAUGGUUGGACUUGAUGAUCUUAAAGGUUUUUUACCAACAUAAAUGAUUCUGUGAUUCUGUUAUUCUGUGAGUGUCUGCAUAAUAAAAUAAUAGUCAAUCUAUUCUAUUUCAAUAAUGCCAAUGCAUGUAGGAAAAACAAACACAUGUACAUGGUUGUGAUCACUAAAUGAACAAUUUCAUCUCAGGAAAGACAUCUUGGAAAGCCUGAUAAAUAUGUCAGCCCUGUGUUCAACAGCAGCAAACCCAAUUAAAAACAUUAGGAAAAUACUGGAGAACAGAACAGAAAGUAUUCUGCUGAUAUACAGUCUGUUGUGUAAAGUCACAUAAUCUCAAAAAACAAUAUGGGUAAACCUAGAAAAAUACACUGAAGGAGAGACAGAAUGGUCAGCUGCAUUGAUUAAAUUCUGAAUGAGGAUGUCUUAAAGAGUAUAAGGUGUCUGUGUGAACAAGAAGUGACUGAAGGUUAACAUAGAAUGUCAUUUCUUCAGGAGACAUAGAGAAGGAAAAUAUUAAAUAUUGCUGACAAUUUAUCACAAUGCAGGAACAAGUGGUACACAAGACAUUACCAGGGAAUAAACCAAUUGAAAGAGAGCUUUUUUCCCCACAGAUUAGGUAAGCUGAAGUGUAGACUCCUUCAUGUCCACAAGUUGUUGCAAAUUCUUAGAGAUAAGUAAAUUUAGUAAAGACUCAGUGAAUUCAUAGAGGGCAAAUCCUGAAACACCUAUUGAAUGCAAAAUCUGGGUCUAUAAUAGUAGCAAGUGAUGAACCACUGUGUAGUUACUUUGGUUUUCUGGAGGCAGAAUAUUGGGGAAGGUUGUUUUGUUGUUCUGUUGUUUUGUUGUUGCUUUGUUCCAAUAUGAUUUUUUUUUUUUUAAUAUUCUGUGAGAUACAAACUAGAAAUGCUUUUAUUUUUGCAGGGAAUGCAGAGUAGCUUUAAGGGAUCUGAACUAAGCAGGAUGCUGCAGGGUAAAAGCUCGAUUCAUUUUGUUCCUGAAGAAAAGGCAGCUUCUUUACCUUCAGCUCUGAGGUAGCUCAGGCAACUUGCUGUAUCAGCCUCACAUCACUUCAUGUCCCACUUUCACCAAUCCUUUGCUGAUUUUCGCUAAUAUUCUGCUACUCAGGAAAAAAUUGGUCUAAAAUUACAGACAAAUAUACAGGAUGAUGAAAUAAACUCUGGUUCCUCAAUUCUAAAACACAACAGUUUUUCCUUUGUUGCUGUGGACCAAGCAGAUCUAGAAUUUGUGAGGUGAGCAUAAUUUAUUCCAGACUCAUGUUGCAAUAGUUUACGUUCUUGAGUCUUUCCAGAUGUACAGAGAGCUGUCUGCUGACAGGAGUUUUUACACAUAUUCCAUCUAAAUCAACACUCCAAAUGCAACAUUGAAGGUGCAGUGAGUUUGUGUGGAUUUGUAGCACUCCCUGGAGGACUCUGUGUCUAAAAACGAAUAAACAUUUCACAGUUCACAGUAAGUGAAAAUUUUCAACAUUUUUGAUGCAUGCAAUAUUGACUGGGGUUCUCAUUUCAAUGUCAGUAUUAUUCCACAGCUAAUAAGUAAUUGGAAAAUAACUUCUUGCAAGUGAAUGAUAAAAGUGAAAUUAAAUCUUUGUAUACUUAGCUGCUGCUUUUUUUUCAUUAGAAACAAAGCAACAAACCAGAAUAUUCAUUGAUAAGUGAAAUAUUUUCCAUACUAAUUGAGAACUACGACAAGAUAUUGAUAUUUUAUAAUCAGAACAAGUAAAAAGAAGACAACUAAACACUAAUUUUGUUACUUUAUAUGUGUUUAGGUUUUGUAAUAUGAUGUAAACUAAUAUAAGUGUCACAGGUCCAGUUGUGAAAAGUUAAUUCUAAAAAGUUAAUUCUACACAAUAUUCAUUGUUACAAGCUGUAAACUCAUGUGGAGAUGACAAUUUCUAAUGAUUAAUCUAAAAUCAUUAAUACAAAGGAAUGACUGAAUAUGGGGUCAAGAUCUCAAAUUUAUUACUUAAGCAGCAAGAUGCUGUUUCUAGAAUAAAGUGACUAUGAAAUGUUCCUGAAAGCUUGGUCAGAAUCCAUCAGUGCAGAUGCAGAAGUGCAAACAUAUUGAUGGUGUGUGUGGCCAGUGUUUACAGAACUCUAUGAAUAAUAAUCUAGAUAAAUAACAUUAGUUAGGGUUAUGAAAACAAACAUCAAAUCAAUCGAGGCCUCCUGCUCAUGCAUAAAUACAAAACCAGCACUUCUGCACUUCUUUGUUUGGGUUCUUUUGGGUGGUUUUUGGUUGGUUGGUUGGUUGGUUUCAGUUAAAUAGGUGUCAGCAGACACGGAUUUAAUCAACCCAAAUUUUUAAAGUUAGAAAUGAUCUGGAGAAAGGCCACAAAAUGUCUCUAACUCUCCAUCACAGUCUUGGUGCCCCCAGUCCCUUGGGGUCAGCAGGCUGCACCUUGCACAGGUGCACUGCCAUGCAGAUUGCAUCAAUGUAGCUCUGCAGCUGGCACAAAGCAAAUGCACAGCCCAAAGAUCAUGUGUGACUACAAAUGUAAAGGGUUGGAAGUAAAGGAAAUUCAAGAACAAAAGAGAAAAUGUCUAUGUUAAUUUAUUUUUUUUGCUCAUGGGCAUUCAGAUGUUUAUUUUUUAUCGAAUGGAAUGUAUGGAUAAAAGCCUUUUUUGAUAUUGCUGUGUGUGAUGCAUUGGGAAGGAGAAGACAGGUAUAAUGUGCAUUUUUUGUAUGUGUGAUGGUCUACAUAAGCAGAAUUUAAUAUGAAAAGAGCAAUUAUAGGGAUUACAUAUCAAAUGCCUGUAUUAUCAUGUUCAGCAUAGCAUGGUUCUGUGCUAAGAGACUAAUUGUGAAAUGGUUAUUUCCAUAUAUGGAUAAGUGAAAUGCACUUAUUUAAUAAUUCUUUAUUUUAUUUCCAGGAAUUUCUGUAAUAUAAACCACUAAAAUUUGCUAUCCAGUUUCUAUUUAAAUAUGGUACUAUUCUUUUACAUUUUGAGGUUCUUUACAAGGCCACAAAUACCAGUAUGUGUACACUAUGAUCCAAGCACAAAUAGUUUAGCAUAGAAGUGAAGGCAUUGGGUCCCCUACUCUACAAACACUCUGAUGCAGAGAGGUUUUAGGGAGCACAGCCUGGGCAAAGGGAGGUAAAUAUUCAAUGUGAGACAUGGCUUUCCAUUAUUUUCUGCAAUAUAAAAUAUUAGGCAACAGCCAAUUGAAUUAUAUGUAGGAUUUGUUAAUGUAUUUUUUCACACCAGCUAAUCAAGCACUUCAGGAGUACCAAUUCAUUUGCUGAUAAAUUUACUGUUAUUUUUUAACAGUACUUACAGGUGUGCAAAUGGUCUCCAGCAACAGUUUUCUGCCUACAUCCAAGUGCCUUUUAGGUGAACAAAACUCCCUACAGCAGACUGUCCUCCCCGUGGGCAGUGACUGGUGUGUCCUGCUUGGGCUGGAAAACCGGAUGGUUUUUAUAAUAAAGGGACACAAAACAUUCCUUGUCUUCUGCUGCAUGGCACAGGAAGGGAUGAAUGAUGGUUUUGCCACCAUGGAAAUUGUGGCAUCAUGAUUUCCUGGGACCACAGGGCCCUCCUGGAGGUAAGUGGGAUAUUGUACGCCAGUAGUGUUGGCAUGGCAUGUUCCAGUGGAAGUGGCCGUCACCAGGGCCAUCAACUGUGGAGCCUGCUAAUAAAUUCUCAUUGAUAUGAACUUGUCUUGACAUCCUUUCUGUAACAUGCUGAUUCAAUCAUGCCUACUCUCUCAGCAACUUAGAAAAAUCAAACACCACUUCUUGGGCAGAAAUUGAAAGGAAAUAUUAAGAUUUUGAGCCAGUAGAUGACAUCCAUUUGUAUAUAGAAACACUUGGAUGAAAGACAGUAGGCAGCAAGGUGUCACCUGGCUGGGACAAUGGGUCUGAAUCAAGUGCUCAGGUUGGACAUGGACGUAAAAAGUCUCUGCCAAAGCUAGGGGCAAUUCAGGGUGUGAUUCGAGUGCCCAAAAGGUCAUUCUCCCAUCAACAUCCAUGCUUUCCAACCUAGCCCUGCAAACUUUGCCACUCUUGCUGCCAGCAGCUCUGCUGCUGUUGUAGAACUUCUCAAGGCACACACCACUAGGGUAGCCUUCAGCAAGGAAAGCAACUAAUGUGCCCAAGUUGUUUUCUUUACUGAAUGCAAUUUUCAUAAUAGUGGAUAUAAUUAUCCAAUGACUUCCCAAAAGAUUAACCCUGUUGUAUGACUAACAACUUGCCACAGCACAUUCUGAAAGCUGAAGAGACAUGUUCUACCAUGUAGUUGCACAUCUGGGAUAUCAAGAAAUACUUUUCCUCACCACAAAUAAGAGUUGGAAGUCUGGAGUCUGAUUCAAACCAUUCAAGGGCUUUUAUCACUGACUCCAAGAGGGACAAGGUCCUGUUGUUAACUCACUUUAUGUCAUAUCUUAGAAGUCACGGAAAAUUUAUGUGCAAUUCCUCAUAUUCUAUGAAAACUUUAAAAUAUAGAAUUAAUAGUGUUUUUUUUUUUUUCUUAGAUAUAGCAACAACUUUUACACAGAAAUGGCACAAAAGAAUUGUUGUUGUAUGAUAUUUGAAAACAUAUAGCUCUGGGAUUUUAAGAUUUUUCUUUGGAACUGGGUAUGGCUGUUCAGUGGCUGAGGAUGGCAAGUAAAUCAGGUACUCUGAGACCUAACAAAAAUUUAUCCUAAAAGCUACUAAUGUUACUAGAUG